rnacentral:rRNA from 1 species
GUGGGGAAUCUUGCGCAAUGGGCGAAAGCCUGACGCAGCCAUGCCGCGUGAAUGAUGAAGGUCUUAGGAUUGUAAAAUUCUUUCACCGGGGACGAUAAUGACGGUACCCGGAGAAGAAGCCCCGGCUAACUUCGUGCCAGCAGCCGCGGUAAUACGAAGGGGGCUAGCGUUGCUCGGAAUUACUGGGCGUAAAGGGCGCGUAGGCGGACAGUUUAGUCAGAGGUGAAAGCCCAGGGCUCAACCUUGGAAUUGCCUUUGAUACUGGCUGUCUUGAGUACGGGAGAGGUGAGUGGAACUCCGAGUGUAGAGGUGAAAUUCGUAGAUAUUCGGAAGAACACCAGGGGCGAAGGCGACUCACUGGCCCGUUACUGACGCUGAGGCGCAAAAGCGUGGGGAGCAAACAGGAUUAGAUACCCCGGUAGUCC